UUCUUGCUAGCGUUGUUCUAGCUACCAACACCAACACCUCAUGUUUCCCAGGUAAGAAUCUACAAGCGAUUUUACAGCCAAUCACAGGCUUUAUGUUUGCAAGGCGAUGCCACCGUCCAAAUGUAUAACGGCGACCUCAAACUCAUGAGAGAUCUCGAAGUUGGAGACAAGGUAUUCUAUUGCUCUUAAGUUUCUCGAAAGCCCAUCUAAACGUUCCAGAUCUACAGGUUGCAGUGAGCAAAAACGUGUUCUCCGAUGUCUAUGCAUUCGGCCACAAGGACGCCGAUGUGAUCUCCGAGUUCAUCCAGGUCCACACCGCCUCAGACAUGAUCGAGCUUAGCGAGGGCCACUUCAUCCCAGUCGACGCCAAGGGAAAGCUUGUGUACAAGCGAGCCAAGGAUCUCCAGGUUGGAGAAACUCUCUGGGGAUCAUCUCAAAUCACUGGUAACAUCAUACUUCUUUUGAGACUUUGCUCUUACUUUGACAACUAUAGAACUUUCCAAGGUGGAGAAGCUGGGCCUCUACAACCCAUUCACUCUCUCCGGCAACAUCAUGGUUAACAACGUGGAGGCUUCCUCUCACAGCGAGUGGUUCCUGGACUCCCUCUUUGAUGCCAUUGGCGCAACUGAGUACCUCCCAUAUGCAUACCAGGCCGUGCUCGCUCCACUUCGUGCCAUCUACAACAUCGUCGGGAAGGAAAUCUAUGGAAAGGGUUAUGCUGCCGUCAAUUCUUGUGUCAACGUUGCUGAAUUUGGAAUGAAGCACGGAGGAAGCAUCGCUCUUGCUGUUGGAAUCGCUGGAGUUGCAACAGCAAUGCUGACGAAGGCUUGAUGAAAAACCAGAAGUAGAAUAAAUAACAUCUUUUAUGCUUUGAUUAUUCCCCUUCUUUAUUUAUAUCCAACUCUAUUCUGAAUGGUUUAUUAUUUGUUUAGUGGAUAUACCUAAAAUAUACUUGGAUAUUUUAGAAUUUUUUACCAUCAAAUGGUUAUUAUUCCUUUAGAAUAAUCUAGUGUUUAUAAUUUAUGAUUAUAGCAUAUUCUAGCUUAUUUAGCUUUUAUACCAUUAGGUUAAACUUAUUUUUAUUAAAAACAUGAUGGUAUGUGGUUAUGCUCCAACUACUCUGUUUAGGAAAAACAUUUUCUUGUAAUACAUAAAUCAUAAUAAUUUGCUAUAAUACAAACUAAGCAAACAUGCAAUAUGGUCACAGUUUAUUAUUAUUUAUCAACCAAGGCUUGAUGAACCAUAAGUAAAAUAAAAUCUAAAUUUCACAAAAUGGAAAAAAAAAAAAGAAAACUGUAUUCCAUUAUUUUGAUUAUUCCCCUUCUUUGUUUAUAUCUAACUCCCGAUUUUAUAUUCUAAAUGGUUCAUUUCUGGUUUUCUUAAGCAAACAUCUUGGUAGUAAAUAUACUUAGAAUAUAGUUGAAUAUUCUAUAAUAGUUUACAGUUUAAAAGUUAAUAUUUAUUUAUAAUAAUAUCGUCAUUAAAUUUAAACAUGAUUAUAAAUUAUAAAAUUUUCCUAAACACCUUCUAGGUCUAACUUUUAUGCCAUUAUAUUAAUCUUGUGUUUAUUAAAAAUAUUCUUAAACACAACAAUUUGUUAUUUGUUCUAAAACCACUUUUAUAAUGCUUUUGUAUUAUUAAUAUUAGUAUAUUUAAAUAUAAAUAUAAGUUGGCCUUUACAUAAGUAUAUUUUAAAUAAUUAAUUUAAUAUAUUUUAAAUAAUAUAUUAAAUUAAGUGAUUAGUUUCAAAAUUUGCAAGAUUAGUUCCAUGAAUAUAAUGAAAAAUAAAAUAAAAUAAAUAUAGUAUUGUGAGGUACAGCUAUAGAUGUGAGGUCCAAAUGUAUAGCUAUAAAUACAAGGUCUAGAUAUAUGGCUAUAAUAUUAUAUAUUAAUAUUAUUAUAGUAUGGUUUUAAUAGCCAUCAUAUUAAUUUCAAUUUGGACCACUUGGUUUUUUAUAUAAACUAAAGUUUUUAGGCUAAUUGGAUAUACAUGUUUUUAUAUUCCAUACACUCAUAUUAAUGGAGUUGAAGGGUAAUCUUGAUUGUCCUUAAGGAGUGCUUAAAUUUAUAUUUUUGGUUUAGAUCAUUGAUUUAAUCAUUUUACAAUGAUUCCCAAUUAUCAUUCUUGAGAUGAUAACUACUGUUUAUGUGAGUUCCCCACAUAUCUUCAAAAGAAAGUAUUAUAAUGGUACAAUGGUUUGAGUAUAACUUCUCAUGUGAAUUAAAGCCUCCUCUCAAACAUCUUUAAGCAUUCAUUUAGAAAUGCUAACAAUUAUGACAACACCUUUCAAAGUCAAUUAUGCAAUUUAGUGUUUGUGUCCAAAGCCUCUUACUUUAUGCAGAGCUUAUAUAAACAAAAAUCAGAAAUGUUUUCAGUAAUGCUUGAUUUGUUUAAUAGUAGUGCUUAUUAUUUAUUAAUCAUACUGAUCAAUAGAAAUUUUAUAAUUAUAAACAUGUUUAUCAUUUCUAAACAUGAGAUUAAACUUAUUACACAUUAACCAUUAAAUGUUCUAAAGGUAAAUGAUAGAAUAUCUUAGAAUAUCUAAGCAUAUUUUACCAAACCUAAAUGGACAUGUGUCAAAUAUCUGUAUUAUCUCACUCGAGCAAAUGAUAAGCCAAGUUGUGCCAACUUUCUAUUAGCCAAACAAACAUCCACACAAGUUUUACUGAAACCAUGCAAAUUGAACCUACCCAAGGCCUAUAAUGGUUGUGAGCCUUCAGCCAUUAUUACUUUAUUGUUGUAAAUAGAAUUGUAACAAAAAGAGUGUAAAGAAUAAAUGACAUUUCUAUGUUGUACUUAUUGAUCUACAUAUAGGAGGAGCUUGAACUAAGACAUGUCUCAUUUUAUAGCUAUUAAAAAUUAAAUAUAAUGCUUAAUUUAAAUGUAUACUAAUCAUUAAAUUAUAAAAUAUAUUAAAAUAUCCAAGAAUAUACUGAUUUUUUAACACCAUAUCACAUUACCAUUCAAAUCUAACAAUUUUGUGGAGAUGUUUUUCAUAUCUCCAAUAACUUUUGAUAGUGCAUAAGCAGCAAAGAAAUAUCUAACUUCCAACCAAUUUUCAGGUUCUGGACAUAUCACAUUUAGAUCAUCACUGAAGUUAAACCCAAUUUUUGCUAUAAAAUGUCGAUUCCUAAACAUAAAUAUUUAGAUACUAAAAUAUAAAAAUAAAAACUCACAACGAAUGAUGAUGAAAAAUUGCCAAAUAAUCAUCCAAUCCAGCCACCCUUGAACCUGUAGAAAACAUUUUAAAAAAUUAUUUAAAAAAAUAUAAAAGUUAUUUACUGACCUAACUCAGAAUACUUAAGGCUCAUCCCAAGCGCUAUAGGUCUUAUUUGUUGAAGUUCAAAUUCAGUAGUUUUAAGAAUCCUAGCUGUUUGUAAAGCUUCCAGCACUUCCUAAACAUAAUAAAAGAAUAAAAUUAAAAAAUUCAAGUGAUAUAAUAUAAUACCAUGAUAGGAAUGUUGUACAUUGAUUUCCUACUUUGGAUGAACGUAGACAGUUUAGUCCCAGGGUCCUUUCCUAAAUGCUGCUCUGAAAGUACAAAAACAUUUUAGAUUAAAAGCUAAAAAUAUUUUCUUGCCGAGAAAGAUCCUAAACAUCGCCUGUGUUGCCCAUCUCAUCACGUUGUUAGCUACAAUUUGGGUUUUCACAACGCAUCAUUGCAAGGCCGCCACACUUGGUUUUUGAGCACGGAAUGUAUUUUGCAUAUGGAAUUAAACGUCACGAGUAAUAAGGAAGAAUGAUUUACUUGCGACUUGAGCAACAUCAUCUCUGUUAUUCCCUCUGAAUGCAUUAUGUCACAUACGGCCGCGUCCUUGGCCACCCUGCCCUGGACACCAAGCUUGUCCCAAAGACGAUUGUCAAAGACUGCCUUGGCAGGGACAAGCUUGGUGCCAGCCACACACGGCAGCACGUCGCGUAGAGCAUCUUCGGCGAAAAAGAGGCCCAUCUUUCUAUUGAUGCCAAUACCGCGGAGAUCCACCACGACGCACUUUCUGAUCCCGAUCGCGUCCACAGCGUUCAGCUCCUUGACAGGAUCCUCUCCACGGUCAUGAGACGCCUGGACGAACUUCCUGGCCGACAGUGUCAUGGGGAAGUCGUCGUAGUUGACGACCCAGUCCAGAGAGCCAUACUGCAAUGCCUUGGUGGGAACCGCGAGAAGGAUGUAGCCAGUGGAGACCCGAUUCUGCCAGAUGGAUUCUUUAUAGACGAGGACUUGUUUAGCAUCAAGCUCUUCUAAAGUUCCAUCGAUCACGAAUUCCGCUGGAGGACCCCGACACCGCAGGCCGAGCUCGAUCGUGGAAAUGCAGCCCACGGCUUCGAUGCUCCUGAUCUGGCAUGGCUCCAGCGGCGUCAUUGAAGGCUCCAUUUCGUUGUCGUAUAAGUAGGCUGGAAUGCUCCAAGGCGCUCCCCAGUAAAGGGCAUUUGCAUGUGUACGACGCUGCUUGGGGCAGAUGUUUCCAUGAGCGUAGCUCAGGUGAUCAAGCAACGUCGUGUCGGGGCAGCCGCAUGCAGUCAACUGCCGGUUGUAGCAGAUAUCGCAGAAGAGGAACAAGGAGGUGGUGGUGUUAUCAUAGACGAGCUUGAGAGGAGGAGCAGGAGCACGAGGCCGAGCUCGAGCCCGAGCUAGAGUUUCCGCGAGCGUGCUGCAUCCGCAGGCAACUCCUGCGUCCACAAGCUAAAUGUUAGCUUGGCUCUUGCGCUCUUCUACUCACUCAGCUCCAAAAAGCCGCCGCCAGAACAUGCCGCCCAACCAGGAGCAAGAGUUUAUCCGCGAGUGUGCUGGGCAGAUCCACCGCGCUCACACCACCCUAGACACUUUUAGGGCAAGGUUCUUAGAAUAUUCCUUGAAACUCCAUAACUCGCAUUAUUUUGCUUAAUGAACAUUUAAUUUCUUUCGUGAGAGCUUUCUUGUCAAUGAAUAAUUCUUGCUAUCAAAGUUUUAGGAUCAACUUGAUCAGUUAGCCUUAUGUCAUAGGCACUCAGUUUCUAGGAUUUAACAUCGCUUCUAGAGCUUCUUUUCCUAUCUUUCUAGGCUUUCAUAGUGUAGAGUUCUCUAUGGCUCACACUUUUUUCUUUGCUACUUCUCUCUUCGCUGUUCUUGCUAGCGUUGUUCUAGCGACCAACACCUCAUGUUUCCCAGGUAAGAAUCUGCAAGCGAUUUUACAGCCAAUCACAGGCUUUAUGUUUGCAAAGGCGAUGCCACCGUCCAAAUGUAUAACGGCGACCUCAAACUCAUGAGAGAUCUCGAAGUUGGAGACAAGGUAUUGUAUUGCUCUUAAGUUUCUCGAAAGCCCAUCUAAACGUUCCAGAUCUACAGGUUGCAGUGAGCAAAAACGUGUUCUCCGAUGUCUAUGCAUUCGGCCACAAGGACG
rnacentral:lncRNA from 1 species